rnacentral:rRNA from 1 species
CCUACGGGGAGCAGCAGUGAGGAAUAUUGGUCAAUGGACGAGAGUCUGAACCAGCCAAGUAGCGUGAAGGAUGACUGCCCUAUGGGUUGUAAACUUCUUUUAUAUGGGAAUAAAAUGUUCCACGUGUGGGAUUUUGUAUGUACCAUAUGAAUAAGGAACGGCUAACUCCGCGCCAGCAGCCGCGGUAAUACGGAGGUUCCGAGCGUUAUCCGGAUUUAUUGGGGUUCAAGGGAGCGUCGUUGGGUUGUUAAGUCAGUUGUUACCGUUUGCGGCUCAACCGUAAAAUUGCAAUUGAUACUGGCAGCCUUGAGUACAGUUGAGGUAGGCGGAAUUCGUGGUGUAGCGGUGAAAUGCUUAGAUAUCACGAAGAACUCCGAUUGCGAAGGCAGCUUACUAAACUGCCACUGACAUUGCUGCUCGAACGUGUGGGUAUCAAACAGGAUUAGAUACCCCAGUAGUC